CAACCGAAUGUACCUUCUACUAAUUGAUAGGGAGGGACUUCACCUAUCUAUUCAGAACUCGCCCCGAAUAUAGAAACGGUUGUGAACACCUCAUUUUAUUUGGUACGAUUAUUAGAGAUCAAAUUCACUCAAGCCAAACUAGUUUUGCGGAUUUAUGAUUUGCAAUCUUUAUCCACGAUGACGAUAAGAUAAAAUCUGGGUUCAUAUUCAUAUAGCCGAACUCCAUCAUUGGGAUUAAAGUCCCGAUAUUGUUGCUGUUGUAAUCUUUAUCCACUCCUUUCUCCCAAAAAACUGGGGAAUGAGGAUAAUGGAUUGUGAAGUUGUGUUUUGGAGUAUUGAAAUUGAUAAACCAAGAACUAGAAUAAUGAUCGUUUCUAUUACCCCGUGUUACUGUAAUUCUGACUUUGCCUCUUUUUCACGGAGGAGCAGAAAAUGACAAUGGGUACCACCUGUUCGACGAAAUGCCUGAAGGAUAUUUCACUUCAAGGGUGAAAUCAUUGGUGAUUUCACUUACAAACAACUGUUUACUCUGGUGUUUACUGAUUAGAGACUUACAGUAACCCCCGGGCCUAUUCUUCUACAACAACUAGCUUCGUCCACAUUUCCUUAUAGUACAAUGAAGAGAAAAGAAAUGAAAAGAGAAGAAUUAGAGAAGAACAAAAGCAGAAAGGAAAAAUUACUUCUAAUAAUCCAACCUUUGAGGCAUUUACUUUUAAAAAUCCAACCUUUCAAUUAUUUCUCAAUAAUCCAACCUAUAUACCCCAUUAAUUUUUAUUGCACCAAUUUAACGGGUAACCGGGAAAGAAGGUCAACCUUAAUUGAUUUUAAUUUAAUUUUUUAUUUUCUAAACUCUCCCU